UACGGGGGGGGCAAGCGUUGUUCGGAAUUACUGGGCGUAAAGGGUUCGUAGGUGGCCAACUAAGUCGGACGUGAAAUCCCUCAGCUUAACUGGGGAACUGCGUCUGAGACUGGAUGGCUUGAGUGCAGGAGAGGAACGCGGAAUUCCAGGUGUAGCGGUGAAAUGCGUAGAUAUCUGGAGGAACACCGGUGGCGAAGGCGGCGUUCUGGACUGCAACUGACACUGAGGAACGAAAGCCAGGGGAGCAAACGGG
rnacentral:rRNA from 1 species